rnacentral:rRNA from 1 species
UACGUAGGGCGCAAGCGUUAUCCGGAAUUAUUGGGCGUAAAGAGCGCGUAGGCGGUUUGUCGCGUCUGCCGUGAAAGCCCGGGGCUCAACUCCGGAUCUGCGGUGGGUACGGGCAGACUAGAGUGAUGUAGGGGAGACUGGAAUUCCUGGUGUAGCGGUGAAAUGCGCAGAUAUCAGGAGGAACACCGAUGGCGAAGGCAGGUCUCUGGGCAUUAACUGACGCUGAGGAGCGAAAGCAUGGGGAGCGAACAGG